ensembl:lncRNA
CCCAGUGUCACCAACAGUGUCACCAACAGCGUCACCAACAGUGUCACCAACAACGUCACCAACGGUGUCACCAACAGUGUCACCAACAGUGUCCCCAACGGUGUCCCCAGUGUCCCCAGGCGUGUCCCCAACAAUGUCCCCAACUGCCACAGCACCAUCCCCAGUGUCCCCAGUGUCCCCAGUGUCCUCAGCACCAUCCCCACUGUCCCCAAUGUCCCCACUGUCCCCGAGUGGGCCCCGCCACCCCCCGGCCCCCUCUUGACUUGGAGACUCGGUGACAGCGCCGGACACGGUGACACCCCCGGACAUGGUGACAGCGCUGGACACGGUGACACUGGACAUGGUGACACGGCCAGCACAGGCUCCGCCCACCUUUAACCCGGGAGAGGGGGGUGGGGGAGGGGCUGGAAUUUCCCUCCCCUCCCCCCCCAGGAAGAUUUUUCCAGGGAAUUCCCGAAUUCCCGGACAGAUGCACUUUGUUGGGAAUUCCCAAAUCUUUUUUGUUUUUCCCGGGAAAAUAAAAAAAAUUCCCAAAAUUCCCAUAAAUCUUGUACGUACGCCCCUCCCCCACCCUGUAAAUAGCCCCUCCCCCCUCCGGCCGACAAUCGGGGGCGGCACCCCCAAAAUCCCGGGAUUUCACCCCAAAAAAUCCCGGGAUUUCCCAAAAAAAAUCCUGGGAAUUCAUCCAAAAACAUCCUGGGAAUUCAUCCCAAAAAUCCUGGGAUUUCACCCCAAAAAAUCCCGGGAUUUCCCAAAAAAAUUCUGGGAUUUCACCCCAAAAAUUCUGGGAUUUCCCAAAAAAAUCCUGGGAUUUCACCCCAAAAAAAUCUGGGAUUUCCCAAUAAAAUCCUGGGAUUUUCCCCCCAAAAUUCCGGGAUUUCCCCCCAAAAUUCCAGGAUUUCCCCCCAAAUUCCAGGAUUUUCCCCCAAAUCCCGGGAUUUCCCCUCUAUAAAUAUUAUAAAUACAGAGAUGGAAACUUGGAAGAAUUCCCGAAUCUUGGACUCCUUUUUUUGGGAUUUGGGAAUUUCGGGAUCCAGCCCCGGCCCCAGGGACCCCAAAGUGUCCCCAAAGGCCCAAAAGUGUCCCCAAAGUGUCCCCAAGGUCCCCUGGGGGAGGAAAUCCUGUCCCUGGGGGUGUCAGUGUCCCAGGGAGGGGAGUGACAGUGUCCCCAGGUGGGUGUCAUUGUCCCCAGGGGGGUGACAGUGUCCCCAAGGGGUGACAGUGUCCCCAGGGGGGGUGUCAGUGUCCCCAAGGGGUGUCAGUGUCCCCAGGGGGUGUCAUUGUCCCCAGGGGGGGUGACAGUGUCCCCAGGUGGGUGUCAUUGUCCCCAGGGGUGGUGUCAGUGUCCCCAGGGGGUGUCAGUGUCCCCAAGGGCUGUCAUUGUCCCCAGGGGGGUGACAGUGUCCCCAGGGGGGUGUCAGUGUCCCCAGGGGGUGUCAGUGUCCCCAGGGGCUGUCAUUGUCCCCAGGGGGGUGACAGUGUCCCCAGGGGGUGACAGUGUCCCCAAGGGGUGACAGUAUCCCCAGGGGGGUGACAGUGUCCCCAAGGGGUGACAGUGUCCCCAAGGGGGGUGACAGUGUCCCCAGGGGUGGUGUCAUUGUCCCCAAGGGGGGGUGUCAGUGUCCCCAAGGAGUGUCAUUGUCCCCAGGGGUGGUGUCAGUGUCCCCAGUGAGGUGUCAGUGUCCCCAGGGGGGUGACAGUGUCCCCAGGGGGGUGUCAGUGUCCCCAAGGGGGUGACAGUGUCCCCAGGGGGUGUCAGUGUCCCCAGGGGGGUGGCAGUGUCCCCAGGGGUGGUGUCAUUGUCCCCAGGGGGGUGUCAGUGUCCCCAGGGGGUGUCAUUGUCCCCAAGGGGGGGUGACAAAGCCCAGCCGGGUGACAAAGCUCCGGUUUAUUUACAAACUGCUGGGGGGAGGUGGCACCGUCCCUGUCCCCUCUGUCCCCUCUGUCCCCUG